rnacentral:rRNA from 1 species
UACGGAGGGUGCAAGCGUUAUCCGGAUUCACUGGGUUUAAAGGGCGCGUAGGUGGGUUGGUAAGUCAGUGGUGAAAUCUCCAGGCUUAACUUGGAAACUGCCAUUGAUACUAUCAAUCUUGAAUACCGUGGAGGUCAGCGGAAUAUGUCAUGUAGCGGUGAAAUGCUUAGAUAUGACAUAGAACACCAAUUGCGAAGGCAGCUGGCUACACGAAUAUUGACACUGAUGCACGAAAGCGUGGGGAUCAAACAGG